GUGCCAGCAGCCGCGGUAAUACGGAGGGUGCAAGCGUUAAUCGGAAUUACUGGGCGUAAAGCGCACGCAGGCGGUUUGUUAAGUCAGAUGUGAAAUCCCCGGGCUCAACCUGGGAACUGCAUCUGAUACUGGCAAGCUUGAGUCUCGUAGAGGGGGGUAGAAUUCCAGGUGUAGCGGUGAAAUGCGUAGAGAUCUGGAGGAAUACCGGUGGCGAAGGCGGCCCCCUGGACGAAGACUGACGCUCAGGUGCGAGAGCGUGGGGAGCACACAAAAGGAGAUCCCUUGGUAGUCC
rnacentral:rRNA from 1 species